AUGGAAGGGUCUCCGCUGAUGGGUCUUAAGGAUGACCUUAUGGUUACACCUGCUUCAAGUGUACCAGAGUUGGAGAAAUUGCAUUUUUUCGCAGUAAAUGGAUCAGAAGUGGAAAAGUUGGCGGCUUCAAAGAUUCUAUGCGGGGCAUCCUUUCUUCGUGGGUGGAACAUUCAAGAACAUGUUGUCCAAAUUGUGCUUGAGCUGCUAUCAACAUUGCUUUCCCAAGAUUCUGGAUCAGAUGGCUAUACUACUCAUCACAUGACUAUAUUGCUUUCUCUCUUAUCUGGGAUUUCUUCCAUUGACACUGUUCAUAUUCUCUCAAUCUAUGGAUUGGUACCAGAACUAGCUGCCAUAGUGAUGCCUCUCUGUGAAAUAUUUGGAUCCUUACCUAAAUCUGACCAUCGGAGUUUCAAUUUCGAAGAUGCUUCUGCGUACUCUAUAUUUUCAAGUGCUUUCUUGCUCCUUCUUCGCUUGUGGAAAUUUCAUAGGCCACCUAUCGAGAAUGCUCUAUCAGGAAAUGGAGUCUCUUCUUGCCAGCUCAAUUUAGACCAUCUUUUGCUAUUACGCAAUAGUCGUCUUGCUUUGAAAAAUCCAUCUAAUGGUUGUACAGUGAGCACACUUCAGUUAGAUCCAUCAUUUAAAAAACCUGUCUACAUUGAUUCACUUCCUAAGCUAAGGGCAUGGUAUUUCCAGAAUCAGGCUUGCAUAUCCUCUACUAUUUCUAGUGCUUACGAGAGGAAGAGCAUCCCCCGACUUGCAAACAAGAUACUUGGAAUUGUAUGUCGGAAAAUGACAAAAGGUUGUAACCCACUUGUCAAUCUACAAGCAACAUCAAAUUCAAGUAUGAGUGGCUCACCUUUAGGUGCACAAGAAGAUGGUUCUGAAGGGCCACCUGUUACUCCAUGGGAAGUUCUGGAAGUUGUUCCCUUUGUACUUGAGACUGUCUUAAUGGCAUGUGCACAUGAGAGGUUUUCAUCUCGUGAUUUGAUUACAGGUCUGAGAGACCUUGUUGAUUUCCUACCUGCUUCACUUGCUGCUAUUGUAAGUUUCUUUUCAGUAGAAAUUACACGUGGCAUAUGGAAGCCAGUUAUAUUGAACGGUACUGACUGGCCCAGUCCAGCAGCAACUAUUCUAGCAGUUGAGUCUGACAUAAAAGAAGUUCUUGCAUCUGUUGGUGUUCAUAUCAACAUGUCUCCACAACCACGUAUGCCCUUUCUCCGUCUCUUUAUGCAAAUGGUUUUGUUCUAUUUCCUACGGAGAGACUACUUUCAUUUCAAAUUUUCAUGUUUGAUGUCUAUUAACUUAUUUACCCUUAAUGAUUCAUUUUUUUCUAGAUUGAUGCCUCGUUAUUUCCAUUUUUCAUGUCAAACUCAAGUUACACAUGACGUCAUGAAUGUUGCUCAAUAUUGUGGUUUUACCCACUUAUCCUUAAUGCGCAAUUUCAGGAGCCAAAUCUGA
rnacentral:rRNA from 1 species